GAUGAACGCUGGCGGCGUGCCUAAUACAUGCAAGUCGAGCGAACGGACGAGAAGCUUGCUUCUCUGAUGUUAGCGGCGGACGGGUGAGUAACACGUGGAUAACCUACCUAUAAGACUGGGAUAACUUCGGGAAACCGGAGCUAAUACCGGAUAAUAUUUUGAACCGCAUGGUUCAAAAGUGAAAGACGGUCUUGCUGUCACUUAUAGAUGGAUCCGCGCUGCAUUAGCUAGUUGGUAGGGUAACGGCUUACCAAGGCAACGAUGCAUAGCCGACCUGAGAGGGUGAUCGGCCACACUGGAACUGAGACACGGUCCAGACUCCUACGGGAGGCAGCAGUAGGGAAUCUUCCGCAAUGGGCGAAAGCCUGACGGAGCAACGCCGCGUGAGUGAUGAAGGUCUUCGGAUCGUAAAACUCUGUUAUUAGGGAAGAACAUAUGUGUAAGUAACUGUGCACAUCGUGACGGUACCUAAUCAGAAAGCCACGGCUAACUACG
rnacentral:rRNA from 1 species